CCUACGGGUGGCAGCAGUGGGGAAUAUUGCACAAUGGGCGCAAGCCUGAUGCAGCCAUGCCGCGUGUGUGAAGAAGGCCUUCGGGUUGUAAAGCACUUUCAGCGGGGCGGAAGGCGUUAAGGUUAAUAACCUUGGCGAUUGACGUUACCCGCAGAAGAAGCACCGGCUAACUCCGUGCCAGCAGCCGCGGUAAUACGGGGGGUGCAAGCGUUAAUCGGAAUUACUGGGCGUAAAGCGCACGCAGGCGGUCUGUCAAGUCGGAUGUGAAAUCCCCGGGCUCAACCUGGGAACUGCAUUCGAAACUGGCAGGCUAGAGUCUUGUAGAGGGGGGUAGAAUUCCAGGUGUAGCGGUGAAAUGCGUAGAGAUCUGGAGGAAUACCGGUGGCGAAGGCGGCCCCCUGGACAAAGACUGACGCUCAGGUGCGAAAGCGUGGGGAGCAAACAGGAUUAGAUACCCCAGUAGUC
rnacentral:rRNA from 1 species